rnacentral:tRNA from 1 species
CUCUCCGUAGCUCAGUUGGUAGAGCAGAUGACUCUUAAUCAUCGGGCCGAAGGUUCGAGUCCUUCCGGGGAGA